rnacentral:ncRNA from 1 species
CUUAUCCAGAGUGACCGAGGGACAAGGCCCUAUGACGUCCGGCAACCCCCACAUGGGAAGGUGCCAAAUCCUGCAGAAUGACUUUCAUUCUGAAAGAUAAG